UUGCCCAUCAUUUUUGUGAUUGUUGCAAUUUUGGUGAUGAAGAAUUGCAUAGUCACAAAAGUGAUGGGGAU
rnacentral:pre_miRNA from 1 species